CGCCCUCUCCCCCGCGCGCCCCACGACGGCGCCUUCUCCCUCGUGCGCGUCGAAAAUCCCGAGCUCACCAGCAAAUCGGCCACAUGGAGGUUGCAGUAAAAAUGGGAUAUUUUCAUCCUCCGGCGGCCUUGGUACUCAAUCUAUUGAGCCAACAUCAGGGACGAGCACCAACGACUGCCAAUCAUGGUUGUGGCCGGCGGGGACUACCAAGAUGGCGCAACGGCGGGAUCCGUGACAGCAAGACAUGGAGGAGCGGCUGCUUCCUCCCGGGCUCCUCCCCGAGCUGCUGCUGCUGCCUCCCCGAGCGGGUGAGCACCGCCGCGGUGGCCUUCUCCUGCAUGGCCCUCCUCACUGCCUCGUGCCUCCCUCCCAUCGUCGGCCGCGGCGGAGCCAUCUGGGGCAGCCAUGGCAGUCAGAGGCGCCUCGGUGGCUACCGGGAGGAGCUGGAGCUCUGGCGGCCAGGUUGGUGAAGCCUUGAAGGUGUGCUUAGAUGUACUGUCAUUUGCAUAGGAGUAUGUUGCAUUCUUGUGUUAAUUUUGACAGGACCGGUGGGAUCAUGGAUGGGUACCAGGCCAGUGGCUCUGUAUCUUCAUGAUGCAUCUCGUCUCUUGAUUAUUUCAGGCCAGGCCAGGCCCUUAGAUGAUAUUCUCAUUUUGUUGAUCAAUCUUGAAUGAGUUCAUCCGAUUUUUCAGUGUCCUGCAGUAAUUGUUUUUCGCACAGAGAGGUUGUGCAGGAUCAACGAGAAGAUGACGGUGUCAAACAUCCUCUCUUCUCGGUACAUCCUCUCUUCUCUCUCUGUAGCAUAAACUGUUGGAGUACUUGAGCUUGUGUUCUGAAUUUGUUUGUGCUGGACUAGAUACUUGUGCUGGAGUGUUUGUGCUUCUGAAUUUGUUAGUCUAGGCAGCUUAAUUAUACUCCAUAUAAUUGACACUGCACCUAAGCGGUCAUUCAAUUGUUUGGUCUCAAUCCUUUGAUCAAACCAGCCACACUUCCCGGACUAGUUAAAUGCAUGACAUUGCAGUUUGUUCCCCGCAUAUGGUCUCAAUAUUUUUUUAACUUAAAACAAUCAACCUGAGGUACACAUUGUACUGUUAGUCUGUUACACUAUCCCCACCCCAUUCUACUAUCCCUGAGGAUGUAAACUGAGUACAAAUUUACUCCCUCAUUGCACAGAUCACAUAUUUUGGUAUUUUGGUAUUUCCUGCUACCUUCCAUCUUGGUGUAGCCCCUCUUGACUUGCUGCGCCUAUUAUAUGAUUCAUUAUCUCUUCUUUGAAUUACUCCAAUUCAGAGAAACUAUGAAAGUCUGAAUUCUUCACUCAACAUUUGCCACUCAAGUCUUUACUUUACAUGUUUUUAUCUGUCAAUUGCAAGGUUGCUAGCAAGACAAAAUGGGGCUUUUUAUUUUUGUGAUUCCAUUAAUUGAAUAUGAAACAUAAUACAAAUCCAUUUUCUUCUUCAAUAUAUUCAGUUGUGCUCCUGCAGUUUUUAUUGCAAAUAAUGCUGAUUGGUAUUUGGCAGGCGUUCUUAUUGAGUGGUGUGCUUCUUCAAUAUGCCACUUGUUAGUUUCAGUAAUCAGGUCUUGAUAGUUUAAUUACUGUAUUACAGGAGCAAAACUAAUCACAAGGAUUAUAUGAACUGCUUAAAUUUAUACUGAAUUUUUUGUUACUAAACAUUACUCAAAUUUGCUUCAGUAAUUGUUUCUUGCACUCCAGUGGAGUGGUGCAGUACCUGGAUGAUUGACAUCCUCUUCUUGUUCUUCAGGUGGAUUAAAAUUAAGAUGUGGAAGCACCAUUGUUCUUCAGGCUUGGGACGCGGCGAUGAGCGAGGAAGUAGUGCUUGGCCUGCAACUGAUGUCCUUCUGACCUCCUGGCCUUGGCGCCUCCUGGUGACCUCCUGGCCCUGGCGCCUCCAGACAAAGCCCCGGACGAGCUUCUGGCUAGGCGACGGCGGCCAGCUUCCGGAAACUGCAGCAGCCGGCGAGCUGGGUGACCCGGAGUGCAGCUGGGCGACAUGCCCGAUCGGGCGAUCGAAGCUGAAGUGCUGCUGGGCGACGAGCCAGUGGAUGGAUCGCACCAGUGGAUGGAUGAAACCGACUUGAACCAAUUUAGGGUAAUCUCACCAUUUGAAUAAAAAAGGUCACCACACUUGCUCAUCCACUCUUCAUCCUUUCAACCAAACAGAAAUUUGGUUACCACUAACCACCUCUCAUCCUACACAACCAAACAGAAAAAAAUGGCUACCUCUAACCGGGUGGUUGGGGAUACCCUCAUCCCUGAACCUAUCCCCUGAACCAAACAGCCCCUAAGUAUAUCUGGGUGAUCGACCUGGAGGUGAGGAUUCCACCUGGAGUAUUGCUGGGUGAUCGACCUGGAGGUGAAGGAGCUCGGCGGAUCGAUCAGACCUGGAGUUGGCGACGCGCCGGUGGAUCGAUCGGAGCGAUCGUAGCUGGACGCACACGUGUGGAUCGGUUGGCGAGCUAGGCCACGCGCGCCUCCUGGAUGGGGAGGAUCGAUUCUUCCUAGGGGAGGAGGAGCUGGCCGGGGAGGAUCGAUUCCAGUGGGGUUGAGUAGCUGGCUGGGGGAGAAGGAGAUGGCCGUGGAGUAUCGAUUCCAGUGGGGUGCGAUAUUGAAUCGAGAUAGGGGUAUCGAUGUCUUUUCGUGGUCUUUUCACCUGGUCGGAACAGGUUCCCGACGUCAGGGAGUAUUAUAUUCGAGUUCGUACGUCAUCAAAAAUGUUUGAUGUCAAAGAUUGUAGACAUCUUAACCAUUCAAUCUUACUAAACAUCCUCCCGCUUUAUAUCUGACCAUCCGUACAAUCCACCGUUCUAGCAUCUCCUAAGCGCCGAUCACCUUCCAAACUCAACAUAAGGAGCAUCAAAAUUAUGGUGUCAGAUAAGGAAGCAAACAAAUACUACCUCUGUCCAUAAAUAUAUGCCAAAAGUUUGUGUAAAUUUGAAUGUAUCUAGACACGAUUUAGUGUAUAGAUACAUCCGCAUUUAAAUAAAUCUUUGGCAUCUAUUUAUAGACGGAUAGUAUUAAUCGCAGGAUCACCAUAGUUAAGGGAUUUCCUAGAUGGAAAGCAUACAGCCAGACACAAAUCACCGGAAUCAUUAGUACAUGGAAAGCAAUCACGACGGUCCAUGGCGGAGGAGGAGCGAGGUCUGGUCACACGAGGAUAUGAACACCAAGAUCUGUCCGCCCACCGUCCAUGGCAGAGGAGGACCAGGACGAGGUCUGGACACAUGAGGAUAUGGGCACCAUGAGGCUACUGUUGCUGACACUCAUCGAACGCUGCUACCUAGAGGCCAUCUCGCGGCUCCCUGCUCGCGACCUCCGGGCAGCCCUUGCAUGAAGCGGGCGUUCGCUAAUCUACUGUUGAUUUUCAUUGUCGUUGGAAUGCUCUCACAGCUAACAUUAUUUCAAUUUUUCCUCCAAUUUCUUGGAGAUUCUACUUAUAGCUGGGAGGUUAGGAGGAUGCACUGAUGUUUUCCUGCAUCGGGAGGUCAUACUAGGUCAUGUUUAUGGCAUUGGCGAAGGCAGAAGUGGACAUGUGGUGGCAAUCAGCAAGGAGGAUGCCGGGCAGGGGUGCGCGGAACCAGACUGUCAGACCUGGCGGUAUUGGCGUUGCUGCAGGUGCAGCAGCAAUUGUUCCAUGUACAUCACGAAGGGCGAGAUCGAUGUGCAUACUCCAUUUGGGAACAUGAAGCUGUCCACAAAUAAAAUGGGUGGAUUCACUUGCCUCAAAAAGGAUGAUGGACACAACAAGGGUAUACUAAAAUGAUGUAUCUGACACCUAUAUAUUUGCAUGCAUUGUGCAACAUGGAAGGAGAAACUUUUUCAUCCACUUCGCCGAUAAAGUUCAGGCUGGAUUUAUGUGAACUAGAAGCUACGGUUUAACGGCAUGGUGUCAUCGAGAAAUUUUACAAGUGAAUAGAUAUAUUUUGAAAAUUUCAUCAGUUUUCAGAAAUCUUGAGUUGGUGCAUUUCAUGUUCCAGUGAAGCGCAAAAAAAGUGAAUGGGCGAAGCAGGUGAACCUUAAGUUUGCUGAUAUUCUUUUCAUGGAUGCGAGGGAGCUUAAUUUUAUGAACGUUUUCAGAAAUAACACACCAGCAUUGGCAACGAGGAAAUGUUGUUGGAAGUGACAAAAAGAUCACCAAGUUUUACACAACAUACUUUGAGGGAAUAUCAAAACUUGUUGAGAACUCACUGGGUUUUACACAACGAACAAUUGUUACAUUUGCACGGGAGUAGAGCUUAUAGUUAAUAAGAGAUGAGUAGUUUGUCCAUUAUUUGUACUGGGAGAAAAGUGCAAUGUCAAUGUACUUAAAAUGCUAUGUUGAUAUCCUUUCUAUACACUCGAAUUUUCACAUUA